rnacentral:rRNA from 1 species
CCUACGGGAGGCAGCAGUGGGGGAUAUUGCACAAUGGGGGGAACCCUGAUGCAGCGACGCCGCGUGGGUGAAGGAGCGUUUCGGCGCGUAAAGCCCUAUCGGCAGGGAAGAAGGAGGACGGUACCUGACCAAGAAGCCCCGGCCAACUACGUGCCAGCAGCCGCGGUAAUACGGAGGGGGCAAGCGUUAUCCGGAUUUACUGGGUGUAAAGGGGGCGCAGACGGCAGCGCAAGCCAGGAGUGAAAGCCCGGGGCCCAACCCCGGGACUGCUCUUGGAACUGCGCGGCUGGAGUGCAGGAGGGGCAGGCGGAAUGCGUGGUGUAGCGGUGAAAUGCGUAGAUAUCAGGAGGAACACCGGUGGCGAAGGCGGCCUGCUGGACUGCGACUGACGUUGAGGCCCGAAAGCGUGGGGAGCAAACAGGAUUAGAUACCCGGGUAGUC